rnacentral:rRNA from 1 species
AUUGAACGCUGGCGGCAGGCCUAACACAUGCCAGUCGAGCGGAUGAAGGGAGCUUGCUCCUGGAUUCAGCGGCGGACGGGUGAGUAAUGCCUCGGAAUCUGCCUGGUAGUGGGGGAUAACGUCCGGAAACGGGCGCUAAUACCGCAUACGUCCUGAGGGAGAAAGUGGGGGAUCUUCGGACCUCACGCUAUCAGAUGAGCCUAGGUCGGAUUAGCUAGUUGGUGGGGUAAAGGCCUACCAAGGCGACGAUCCGUAACUGGUCUGAGAGGAUGAUCAGUCACACUGGAACUGAGACACGGUCCAGACUCCUACGGGAGGCAGCAGUGGGGAAUAUUGGACAAUGGGCGAAAGCCUGAUCCAGCCAUGCCGCGUGUGUGAAGAAGGUCUUCGGAUUGUAAAGCACUUUAAGUUGGGAGGAAGGGCAGUAAGUUAAUACCUUGCUGUUUUGACGUUACCAACAGAAUAAGCACCGGCUAACUUCGUG